rnacentral:rRNA from 1 species
GCCAGCAGCAUAUCACUCUGCAACUCACACCUGGCAACCCACUGAAGCUCAGCAGGUGUGAGCCUGGUCAGGACCUGGAUGGGAGACCUCCUGGGAAAAACUAAGGUUGCUGCUGGAA